UGAAGACCUUCAGGAUGGAGGUGCCCUUCUCAGACCCGGUGGUCUUUAAGGAGAGAAGGGCGGAACAAGGUGUCACAACCUUCACUCUUCAGCUGAUCUACGGCCUGGUCAUCUUUCCAGAGUACGCUCCUUUCUCUCACUCUGCCGUUGUGGACGCUGUACUGCUGGACAUUGUGCCACCCUCAGUCACUGGCAACUGUGAUCAGGAGAACUUCCACAUCACU